AUGCACCUGGGCAAGGAUUCAGA
rnacentral:miRNA from 1 species